rnacentral:rRNA from 1 species
CCCUUAGAUGUUCUGGGCCGCACACGCGCUACACUGAAGGAGGCAGCGUGUACUCCUGGAUCGAAAGAUUUGGGUAACCCGCGAAUCUCCUUCGUGCUAGGGAUUGAGGUUUGCAAUUAUCCUUCAUGAACGAGGAAUUCCCAGUAAGUGCAAGUCAUAAGCUUGCGCUGACUACGUCCCUGCCCUUUGUACACACCGCCCGUCGCUACUACCGAUUGUAUGAUUUAGUGAGGACUUCGGACUGGGACCGAUGCGGCUUUCGGGCUGCGUCGGUAUUCUGGAAAGAUGUCCAAACUGUAUCAUUUAGAGGAAGUAAAAGUCGUAACA